rnacentral:lncRNA from 10 species
CUGGCCUUCUUGCCUUCAUGUAUUUUUUAAAACAUCUCAACAUGUUGCCUGUGACAUUUUAAUUUUAUUGUUCUUUCCAGGAUGUCAGACUGGCCAAUUUCAUCAGCCAUGAGAGCCAAAGACUCAGAGGAUACACACACUCGUGUACAAAAGCCUCUGCCAGCCAGCAAAGCCUGUUUGUUUUGUCAUGACAACCCUUGUCACUUCCAUCUGGAGGGUGACAGGCUGAGAACCUGUCUGAGCUGCAAGAUUACAGAGAAUUAUAUUUCACAGUCAAAUGAUUAUGACACAGAGAGAAGCCGUCAGUAUAUAUAAGGUGCUUAGGCUUUACAUAAACAAACAUGCACUGUCUUUGACAAGGAAACAACUGGGCUUGAAAAUUUCACAUGAAGAGCAAUAUCGAUGUGUGUAAGUGAUGAAGAAAACCGUUUCCUGGUUCCCUCUUAAGAUAGCAGUGCUGAUGUUUUAGAACUAGAAGUGCUGCUGUGUGACAAAACACAGCUAAGAAGAAGACACUGGUCAUCUACAUGCAGAUUAAGAGAAAAUAGGUCACAAGUAUUCAUCUACCUUGAGUCAAAAUCGGUUGAUGGAUCUCCGAUGAAUCUCCUUUUAAAGGCCUCCAUGAGCUGAAAGCUAUGGGGAAACAACAAAAGGUUUUGAGCAGGGUCCAUGCAUUAGAUGGUAAGAGUUAGAUCAGACAGAUGUAGAUAGCACUUCUGGUCACUUCUGCUGGCAACUAAGGUCAUGGAGUUGUUGGACUUUGGGAAGAGAGGUUCUGCAUCCAGGCAUUAGCUUCAUGGGGAACAAGAGGAGCAGGGGUGGAAAUCCAUGUUUAGCUUGUGUGGCUCUAGCACAAGGUUCAGUUGCGGUAGCUUCCUGACCUCUGGAUCUCAGUUAAGGCAAAGAUGUUGCUGAAGUCAGGGGUUCCAGCCAGGGGAAGCCUCCUGAAUUCUCAUCUUC